AUGCUUCAGGGCUACCAGUUUUGGACGAGGGCGUCGGCGACAAGCGGCAGCUUCGCCAUUGACAACGUCCGGGCAGGGGAGUACAACCUCUACGCCUGGGUCCCCGGGGUCCUCGGCGACUACAUGCUCACGGCUCCCGUCACGGUGGUGCCCGGUGGCACCGUUGCCCUCGGCGACCUCGUGUUCGAGCCGCCCCGAUCGGGGCCGACGCUGUGGGAGAUCGGCGUGCCGUACCGGAGCGCCGCCGAGUUCUUCGUCCCUGAUCCCAACCCCAGGUACCUCAGCAAGCUCUUCGUCGCCAUGGACAAGUACAGGCAGUACGGGCUGUGGGAGCGGUACGCCGAGCUGUACCCCGCCGGCGACCCCGUCUUCACCGUCGGCGUGAGCAACCACUCCAAGGACUGGUUCUUCGCGCAUGUCACAAGGUAG
rnacentral:rRNA from 1 species